CCCCCAGAAUAAAAUUCAGUGGAGAGAGCGCAGGGCAGCGGCCCCAGAGGCCUGGAGCGUCCCCGUCUCUUCACAGGCAGACUGGACCCACGGACACAUCCCCCUGCCCCAGAAUGCAGGGACCAGCCAGCUUGACUGGGGGGAAGCCGGGGUCUCCCACGGGCACCCACCUGGAAGUGCCAGUGUGAUCUUUGUGCUGUCUGGGCUGGCUGAUGGAGUUGUCCCCGGUAGCGACACUGUGUGCACAUCACUCCCGCUUGUCAUUCUCCUGCUGUCCCCUCCCCAGCAGGAGGAAAAUCAGCUUCUGGCGACUGUGAGAUGAACUCACGGGCAGGACGUUCGCCCCCUUACCUCCCCAGGAUGGACGGGCCUGGGAGUCUCUGGAAUCAUCCACGCUGGAGUCGCCUCGGUGUGGAAGCAGACACACACACAGCGUGGCAGCUGGGUUCCAAGAGUGAGCUCCCGGAAGGACCAAACACGGGUCCUGCGCAUUUCAGUUAUCCAGGAAGUUCGUGAAAUGCACGGCUAAAGUGAAAUGAGGGUCUUCUUGUGGGAACUCUGGAGAAGCGAGCCAUGCCUCCAGCCUCCGACAUCGAGUGCUGAGCAGACCCCCACUUCCCCCCGCCUUCCGUGGCCUGUGUCACCCUGCGCCGGGCCCUGUGCCUGGGCCUUUGCACUCAAGCUCCCUGAAGAGGACGGACUGGAGGGGGGUGUGGUGGCUGAGUGCCCGGCCGGCCCCACUCUUGGGAAGAGAAGCCAAAAGGAGACCCGUCCAGGAGCAGGUCAAGAAGGACAUCUUUGCCUGGGAAGAAGAAGGAAACUUCGGGAGGCCGGAAACAAGAGAUUCGAGCUGAGUGUCCGGGAAAGACAAUCCGCCACGGAAUGCACCGGCCUGGUGGAAGGACAGGAAGCUGCCCAGGAGCCGGCGGGCCCACUCACCCACCCAGCUCAGGUUAAAACCCCUAACUUUCAGGGCUGCGGAAUGCUUGGGCUCCUGGCUGUUGCGCAUUGUUAG
rnacentral:lncRNA from 1 species